UACGAAGGGGGCUAGCGUUGCUCGGAAUCACUGGGCGUAAAGCGCGCGUAGGCGGAUUGUUAAGUCAGGGGUGAAAUCCUGGAGCUCAACUCCAGAACUGCCUUUGAUACUGAAGAGCUUGAGUCCGGGAGAGGUGAGUGGAACUGCGAGUGUAGAGGUGAAAUUCGUAGAUAUUCGCAAGAACACCAGUGGCGAAGGCGGCUCACUGGCCCGGUACUGACGCUGAGGUGCGAAAGCGUGGGGAGCAAACAGG
rnacentral:rRNA from 1 species